AGCAGAAGAGCCUAGUGAGAUAGGAGUUGCAUCUCUGCUCAUCCAGAUCUCUAGAGAAGGGAUCUACCCCUGGACUUUUUCCUGGAAAACUCUUCACGAAGCCAUAGGUAUGGAUGGAAGAAAAUGCACCAGUCCAAUAGCAGUAGGAGCCUGGGUAUUCUAUGCAUUUGAGUAUCUCACAUCUUCUGGAUCUGCCUAAACCCAGUCGCCAAGUACCACAGAUAUU
rnacentral:lncRNA from 1 species